rnacentral:rRNA from 1 species
AGUGAACGCUGGCGGUAGGCCUAACACAUGCAAGUCGAACGGCAGCACAGUAAGAGCUUGCUCUUACGGGUGGCGAGUGGCGGACGGGUGAGGAAUACAUCGGAAUCUACUUUUUCGUGGGGGAUAACGUAGGGAAACUUACGCUAAUACCGCAUACGACCUACGGGUGAAAGCAGGGGAUCUUCGGACCUUGCGCGAUUGAAAGAGCCGAUGUCGGAUUAGCUGGUUGGCGGGGUAAAGGCCCACCAAGGCGACGAUCCGUAGCUGGUCUGAGAGGAUGAUCAGCCACACUGGAACGGAGACACGGUCCAGACUCCUACGGGAGGCAGCAGUGGGGAAUAUUGGACAAUGGGCGCAAGCCUGAUCCAGCCAUACCGCGUGGGUGAAGAAGGCCUUCGGGUUGUAAAGCCCUUUUGUUGGGAAAGAAAAGCAGCAGGUUAAUACCCCGCUGUUCUGACGGUACCCAAAGAAUAAGCACCGGCUAACUUCGUG